UCGCCUCUAUAAAAGGAGGAGACCUGAGAGUUUCAUUUUUUUCACCACAUAAUCUUUUGAAACCCUAAGUCCGGGAACAAGAGUGACUAAGUGGGCGGAGGUAUCCGUAAAUGCAACAAUUUCUUCUAAAUCAAAUCCUGUAAGCCACUUCGGAGGUGUUGCCCUUCAUGGACGCAAACCCGCAGUCUCCUUCCUCAGUAAAUGUUGACCCCAAAGCAACUUUUCGUAAGCCUUCAAAUGAUGCAGCUAGUAGAAAGUAUCGGCGCCGGUCACCUGCUAGCCGCUCAUCGUCAUCUGAUGGAAGUCCUAAGAAUCACCAAAGCCCUAGUCCACUUUACUCAAGAGAAAAUCCUCCAUAUGUCUCCGAGCAUCAACAGAGAAGAAAAGAUGAUGAGAGAGAAUUAAACAAAGAUUCUUCUCGUAGUCAGAUUGGCAAAACUAGUGAUUCAUAUAGACAUUCUGAUCACCACUCAUCCAGGAGUUCCCAGAGCCAUUCUAAGCGUGAUGACUACGGCAGACGUGACAAGCAUGUGGAUGAUGAGGAUAGAAAUUACCAGAAGUCAUCAUCUCGUUCGGCCCGAGAGUCAAUGAGCAGUCAUCAUUCUGAUUAUACAAGACAGGAAAGUGAAUAUGGUAGGUCAAAGGGUUAUAUGGACAGAUAUCAACGUGAUAAAUAUGAUGAUUCAGGAAAUAGAAGCAAGGAUAAAGAGAAAGAGACAUCUUCCUUUGAGCAUCAGAAGCAUAAAGAUAAAGAUCAUUCAUCUGACAGAGCUGGAUCUGGUCGAAGACAUGCUAACACAAAAUCUGAAGAGACAGAGAGGGAGUGGCAUGCACGGGAAAGAGAUAGUCGUGACGAGAGAAGAGAUUAUCAUAGAAGUUCAGGUGAUCGGAGAAGUGAUAGAACAUACUCCCGUGAUGAACCUAGAGGACAUCGGCACGACUCAACUUCUAGAAGGGAUGAUUCUGGACAUCAUGCAAAAGAAGGUUAUAAGAGUGACCCAAAGGACGAAAAGAGGAAAUAUGAUGACUGGGAAACCAAGAGGGACAAGGACCGGUACAGUAAAGUGCCAGGGGAGAGAUUUGAAGAUAAAACUGUUUUUGCUAGUGAAAGCCAAGAAUCUCCAGCCAAGAAACCAAAGUCAUCAAGUUCAGACAAGUUCUUUGAUUCUGCAACUGAUGGUUCUAAGUUUUCUAUGACCGUAGUUGAGGACAAACAGUUUUCAACUUCCAAAGAAUCAACAUCAGCCCAGGAGAUUGAUGGUAAAUCUUUGGUAGGUCAGUCUCAAGCAAAUUAUUCUGGUUUUGCUAAUGAUCUAGAUGCUGCAAAAGUUGCUGCAAUGAGAGCUGCUGAGUUAGUUAAUAAGAAUCUUGUUGGCGGGGGUUACAUGACUACUGAUCAAAAGAAGAAGCUCCUAUGGGGAAAUAAGAAGGCAACGACUACAGAAGAGCAGUCUGCUCAUCGCUGGGAUAAUGCACUUUUUAGUGAUCGCGAACGACAAGAAAAGUUCAACAAACUCAUGAGUCUGAGGUUGCCUUGGUACCUAUGGCCACUUGUAGGGUGUGAAGGGCGAUGCAAGUGUGGAGCAAAAGUCCGACAAGCAAGAUCCGAGUGGCCUGCUCCGGGCGGAGAAGCAGAAGGAACUCCAACUGGAUUUAGAGAAGCAAUACACUGCUGGACUUCGUCGAAGAGAUGGACGCACUGUCGGAUUAGGUCUUUAAUCAUCACCUUGCAAUCCUUUGCUAGUAUCGACCCAGUGUUAUGUGACUUUUUGUUGUACUGUUCAAGAUUUUUAAUUCUUGUGAAUUUACAAUUGAGGCAUGCCAUGACAAAAAUAUGGUUCUGGUUUUGACAUUUGGAGUUGCUGAUAAGAAAGGUUAUUGGGAGGCGUCUCAUCUUUCCUUUCCACGUGACUAUCUUGCAUUGUUGGUAGGAAAUGUAUUAAUCUGCACUCUGCAAUUAGUUCUCCCUGGCCAAUGGACGGCCGCAUAUGUACAAAAAAAAAGGAGUGUUUCCAACCUCGGUAAAAAAUGGAUUUUAGCGGGGGAUAUGACAAGAACCGUUGGUCUCGCGGUGGCUGGAAAAAAAAAAAAGCAGGGGCAUAGCAUAUGCGUUAAAAGAUUAAGGUGAAAAACAUCACUUGAAAAUUUCAAAGAUGUGUCGAGCUGAGAUAUACAUCGCAUAUAGGGGUUGG